rnacentral:rRNA from 1 species
AACCUGUUGUGAACAGAUGGAUCCGCGUCCCAUUAGCUUGUUGGCGGGGUAACGGCCCACCAAGGCUGCGAUGGGUAGCCGGCCUGAGAGGGUGAUCGGCCACACUGGGACUGAGAUACGGCCCAGACUCCUACGGGAGGCAGCAGUAGGGAAUAUUGCGCAAUGGACGAAAGUCUGACGCAGCAACGCCGCGUGGGUGAUGAAGCAUUUCGGUGUGUAAAACCCUGUCAGUGGGGAAGAAAAGUAUCGAGAGUAACUGCUCGGUACCUGACGGUACCCGCAGAGGAAGUCCCGGCUAACUCCGUGCCAGCAGCCGCGGUAAUACGGGGGGGACAAGCGUUGUUCGGAUUUACUGGGCGUAAAGGGCGCGUAGGCGGACCUUCAAGUCGGAUGUGGAACCUGGCGGCUUAACCACCAGCCUGCAUUCGAUACUGUCGGCCUUGAGUAUGGGAGAGGAGAAUGGAAUUUCAGGUGUAGCGGUGAAAUGCGUAGAUAUCUGAAAGAACACCAGUAGCGAAGGCGGUUCUCUGGACCAAUACUGACGCUAAAGCGCGAAGGCUUGGGGAGCAAACAGGAUUAGAU